UAGAAGCUUUAUAUAUACAACUUUGACUUUAUAAGUGUUCAUAAUUAAUUGAUAGAUUAGAAACUUGGCCAAUAAGUUAGCCACGUGUUGCAUAUGUUGAUAACUUAUGAUACAAGCUAAGCAUGUGACAUACAUAUAGAAAACUUUUCUUAUAAGUUAGACAUGUGUGAUGUGAGUUGGAUACCUAUUUGAAGUCUUAUAGAACAUU
rnacentral:lncRNA from 1 species